AAGAAGAACCCUCCCCUGUUUCACCAGCCAGACACCCCAGCAGGUGGGGAGGAAGGGAGAAAGCCCUCCCCUGUUUCACCAGCCAGACACCCCCAGCAGGUGGGGGAGGAAGGAAGAAAAGCCCUUCCCCUUUUCACCAGCCAGAACACCCCCAGCAGGUGGGGGAGGAAGGGAGAAAGCCCUCCCCUGUUUCACCAGCCAGACACCCCCAGCAGGUGGGGGAGGAAGGAAGAAAGCCCUCUCCUGUUUCGCCCUCUUCCUCCUCCUCUUCCUUCUCAGUUGAACAAUAUGACCAGUCUUCCUCUUCUGAUCAAGACGUGCCCACCCUCCCCCCUAAAGUCUACGUGGUGGGGGCGGGCCCUAAAGAGCCUCGCGGCCCUGCUCCAAUCUCACGUCGACCUCCUGUCUUGCCCCCCAGAACCACACACACACAUAGCGAUGCUCCAGUCGAUGAGCCGCACACAGAGCGAACUCCACCCCCCCCGCCUCGGACCAGGGUACACAACACACCAGUCAACACGCAGCCUGCUCUGCCCAUGAGAAGAGUCCCCCAGCCACCGCCUGAAAUCAGGUCAGAUUUUGGUGACAGUUCAGAUGACUCUGAGGAUCCAGAACACAAGUUUACCAAACC